GAGGUAAACAACAUAUGCGGACCUAUACAGAAUAUAUUGGAAUGAUAGACAGAAGAUAAGCAUGGCCAUGCGCAAGGAUAAUACGCAAAAUCCUGAAGCGUUCCAAAUUUUU
rnacentral:snRNA from 1 species